UCCACGAAUGCGGAUCUAAGACUAGUCUCAGACCCCGAUCCCUUUUCCUGUUGGCUAUUUAUAUUCAAGCGGCAUUAGAAUACAUUUGAAAAUUUAAAAUAACAAGUUGUUAUUGUUUUGUUAAAAAAUAUCUUAGUUUUGUUUUUAAAUAAUUUAGAGCAACGAGGAAACUUCUUCAAUGUUCACACUACAGCUUGGGAAUACUUGGCCACAAUCGCAUCUUCGUGGCCGAAGCUUGCCGUCGUUGCCGCUAUAUGUGCUGCUCUGUAUCAAAUUAUGCCAAGCAGUUAUGCAUCUCAGCCGUUGGAAGAUAAAGAUUUAUACACAGUGGACGAUCUUAUGACAUUUAUGGCAACCGGGUUUCCAGACCAAAAAAGUAA